rnacentral:misc_RNA from 1 species
UUAACUAUUUGCUUUUUACUUCAGGCUGCAAAGGGUUGCUGGAGUUUGCGUUUCGGCCGGGGGACCCGCCCGAAGGGGGACCCGCCUGACGCCGAUCGUGGGGCGGGAAGCGAAGGGUGGGGGUGAGCGCCGAGACGCUCGGUGACCCAGUAAUGAUCCUUCCGCAGGUUCACCUACGGAAA